rnacentral:rRNA from 1 species
UACGGAGGGUGCGAGCGUUGUCCGGAAUCACUGGGCGUAAAGGGCGCGUAGGCGGCGCGGGGAGUCAACGGUGAAAGCUCGGCGCUCAACGCCGAGUCGGCCGUCGAUACUCCCGUGCUUGAGCACUGUAGAGGCAGGUGGAAUUCCGGGUGUAGCGGUGGAAUGCGUAGAGAUCCGGAAGAACACCGGUGGCGAAGGCGGCCUGCUGGGCAGUAGCUG